rnacentral:rRNA from 1 species
UGCGUAGGCGGCUUUUUAAGUCGGAUGUGAAAUCCCUGAGCUUAACUUAGGAAUUGCAUUCGAUACUGGGAAGCUAGAGUAUGGGAGAGGAUGGUAGAAUUCCAGGUGUAGCGGUGAAAUGCGUAGAGAUCUGGAGGAAUACCGAUGGCGAAGGCAGCCAUCUGGCCUAAUACUGACGCUGAGGCGCGAAAGUAGGGGGAGCAAACAGGAUUAGAUACCCUAGUA